rnacentral:rRNA from 1 species
AACACGUGGGUAACCUGCCUGUAAGACUGGGAUAACUCCGGGAAACCGGAGCUAAUACCGGAUAGUUCCUUGAACCGCAUGGUUCAAGGAUGAAAGACGGUUUCGGCUGUCACUUACAGAUGGACCCGCGGCGCAUUAGCUAGUUGGUGGGGUAAUGGCUCACCAAGGCGACGAUGCGUAGCCGACCUGAGAGGGUGAUCGGCCACACUGGGACUGAGACACGGCCCAGACUCCUACGGGAGGCAGCAGUAGGGAAUCUUCCGCAAUGGACGAAAGUCUGGCGGAGCAACGCCGCGUGAGUGAUGAAGGUUUUCGGAUCGUAAAGCUCUGUUGUUAGGGAAGAACAAGUGCGAGAGUAACUGCUCGCACCUUGACGGUACCUAACCAGAAAGCCACGGCUAACUACGUGCCAGCAGCCGCGGUAAUACGUAGGUGGCAAGCGUUGUCCGGAAUUAUUGGGCGUAAAGGGCUCGCAGGCGGUUUCUUAAGUCUGAUGUGAAAGCCCCCGGCUCAACCGGGGAGGGUCAUUGGAAACUGGGAAACUUGAGUGCAGAAGAGGAGAGUGGAAUUCCACGUGUAGCGGUGAAAAUGCGUAGAGAUGUGGAGGAACACCCAGUGGCGAAGGCGACUCUCUGGUCUGUAACUG